ensembl:lncRNA
GGGCUGUUUCCUUUUUAUUUUAUGUUGGUUCUGCUCAAAUGUACCUGGUUUAUGUCCACAAAGCCGCAUUAGCUAAUUGUCAACCUGUUUCAUUCGUACUUGGGUAAACAUUUGCUUUGUACUGUGCAUAAAUGGUUCCGAGGUGUGCUCCUCAGCUGUCUCAACGCAGACAUCAAUUUCACUCGUAAUGCCAUCAUACAAAAUACGUUAAGCUGUUUUCCGACCAAGCGAAGCUGCCUGGCUGGGUGGUUUGUGCCCUGUGCACGCUGCCUUGUGACAACGGCUCAUCCGCAGCGCCGCCGGCAGCGAGGCCGGCACGGGUGGGAGGCACGCGUGGCCACAGCAGCGCCUGCGAUUGGUGUGGCGACUCGUGUCCCCUCGGCCAUGGGAAAUGAAGGCUCUCAGCAAACCGUAGACGUGAAGAACAGAUGCUCCCGUUGCACCGAGGGUUUCUGUGCAGCUGAUGCACUUAGCCUAGUUUAUUUCACGGAAACUUUUAAGCUGGAUCUCGUCCAACGCCCAGGGAAGCAGAUGGCUUCUGUUGGUUUGAGUUGGUUUUCACGUCGAGUCCAUUCAGGUCUCCGAUUGCAAGUGGUUCCAGAGGGUUCUGAUUUCUUUUUUUCUCCUGACGUUCUGAUAAGAUUCGGUGUUAGGGCGACAGCUUAGCACUGACCGGUAGUUUUACAAAACCGAAUUUUGCUUUGGAAGGAUUUGUGCUGCGGAAGGGCAGAGCAGUCAGCUCAGUGACACGAAAACUCACCUCUGCGCACGGAGAGCUGCGGUGACGCCGUGGUGCUGGCUGGAUGCUUCCGGGGAGGUGGGCCAGCAGGAAAUCUGUUUCUGUGUGUUUAUGUGGACCUUCUAACCAGUGCUGCUUAGGAUAAAUAGUAAGUGUAAAAAUAAGCCGUCCCCUCGCAUUAUUGUCAGGCAGAGGAAAACUUAAACCAAGUCCCUUUCUGCCUGUUAUUCAGUGCAUCGUGUUUAUGCUUGCUGCUUAUCCUUGAUCUCUCACUCACAGCUUCCAGAACAGCAACUGAAGGGUGACACAGGAACUACGUGCUAACUUUUAUGUCAAAAAUAGCUUUCACCUUUAAAUGCACGAGGCUCGGGGACUGUUUUCUAAUUAGAAAAAGAAUGCCUGAGCUUCUACUGUGAAUCCAUUUUACGGCUGUGUUAAAACUUGACUGUCAACUCCUGG